rnacentral:rRNA from 1 species
ACGGGUGAGUAAUGUCUGGGAAACUGCCUGAUGGAGGGGGGUAACUACUGGAAACGGUAGCUAAUACCGCAUAACGUCGCAAGACCAAAGAGGGGGACCUUCGGGCCUCUUGCCAUCGGAUGUGCCCAGAUGGGAUUAGCUAGUAGGUGGGGUAACGGCUCACCUAGGCGACGAUCCCUAGCUGGUCUGAGAGGAUGCCAGCCACACUGGAACUGAGACACGGUCCAG